AUUGAACGCUGGCGGCAGGCCUAACACAUGCAAGUCGAGCGAGCGGCGGACGGGUGAGUAAUGUAUGGGGACUGCCCGAUAGAGGGGGAUAACUACUGGAAACGGUGGCUAAUACCGCAUACUAUCGGAUAACCCAUAUGGGAUUAGCUAGUAGGUGGGGUAAAGGCUCACCUAGGCGACGAUCUCUAGCUGGUCUGAGAGGAUGAUGCGCCACACUGGGACCGAGGAACGGCCCAAACACCCACGGAAGCCGCAGUGGGGAAUAUUGCACAAUGGGCGCAAGCCUGAUGCAGCCAUGCCGCUUGUAUGAAGAAGGCCUUAGGGUUGUAAAGUCCUUUCAGCGGUGAGGCGUUACCCGCAGAAGAAGCACCGGCUAACUCCGUGCCAGCCGCCGCGGUAAUUC
rnacentral:rRNA from 1 species